UAGCCAGUGCCCGGCUGAUUGGAAAGGGAGUAGAAAUCGACAAGGCGAAACUUAAAAAAAAAAAAAAAAAUUGGAGUGUUACUUAUACUUACCAUCUGCAUGGUAUCAAAUGAACGUGAACGUGAACGUGAACGUGCAUAGGCAAGAAAGAAACUCUAUAUUUCUAAAACCGCAUUUCCAGCGUCUUUUCCUAGUUUUAUUAAAUAAGAAACAGGUUGAAUAGAUCGAUUUAAUCAUAUGUUUCUCCCUGGUAUCUCGCAUCCUUAAGUACUUAAGCAGCCCAGCGGAAAAAGAAAAAAAAAAAAGAAGA
rnacentral:sRNA from 1 species